rnacentral:rRNA from 1 species
AUGAAAACCGAGAAGAGAAACAAAGGAAUCAAAGAAAAUAGAAAAAAGAAAGAAGAACUAUUGAAAACUGUGAAAGAAACGUAUAAAUCCGAUGAAAAAAGCAAAGAAAACAGAAAAACCGAAGAGAAACGGGAAGAAACAAAGAAAACCAAAAAACAAAAUGAAAUGAAACGGAAAAAGAACUUGAAGAAAAGCAGAACCUACCAUGACCGAAGGAGCCAUAGCGACCGAACGAACGUUAUUCGUCCAGCCCAUUUGCAUGGACGUGGUGGUGUUGCGGACGAGGGGAGCUACCAUCCUGAGAAUAGCUCCCGUGUUCCUGAUGGUGGAAAGAAAGGCAAUGAAGGGACAACCUUGAAAUAA